GCAGCGAGAGAAGACAACAAACUACUACUAUCUGCCUCAUCAUUUCUUCGUUCGUUACAGAUCGGGCAGCAUUUAUCAUCUGGCUGGAUAGUUCGGGUGCAGGUCAAAACCGGGCAGAUUACUGGAUCACAGAUUACAGUUCGCUUCUACAAAGAAGAAGAAACAAGCUGCAGGAGAAACACUUGUCAUAGUUGGGAGUCCAGUUGGAUCCGUGAGCAUGGUGCUGGUUCUCAAAGAAGCAGCAGCGGCAGCUGUGAGUUUGGCUCCUCGGCUUCUCUCUGAGACACUUCGUGUUCACUGCAGCCAUCCGACCUCAAGUAACUUCACUGCGGAGACUAUAAAUAAACAACAUCAAGUUGGAAGUUGCUUUCUCUACUUUGAAAGGCUUUUUACCUAGCUGCCAAACUAAAUUACAAAAUUCAGGGAGGGCAGAAUAAUAUAUGUAAAUAAACCAAUGGGUGUACAAA